AUUUAACUAACUCAGUUGGUAAGAGCAUGGUGCUGAUAACACCAAAGUCGCAGGUUUGAUCCCCAUGUGGGACA
rnacentral:tRNA from 1 species